AGAGUUUGAUCCUGGCUCAGGACGAACGCUGGCGGCGUGCUUAACACAUGCAAGUCGAGCGAUGAAGCUUCCUUCGGGAAGUGGAUUAGCGGCGGACGGGUGAGUAACACGUGGGUAACCUGCCUCAAAGUGGGGGAUAGCCUUCCGAAAGGAAGAUUAAUACCGCAUAAUAUAAGAGAAUCGCAUGAUUUUCUUAUCAAAGAUUUAUUGCUUUGAGAUGGACCCGCGGCGCAUUAGCUAGUUGGUAAGGUAAUGGCUUACCAAGGCAACGAUGCGUAGCCGACCUGAGAGGGUGAUCGGCCACAUUGGAACUGAGACACGGUCCAGACUCCUACGGGAGGCAGCAGUGGGGAAUAUUGCGCAAUGGGGGAAACCCUGACGCAGCAACGCCGCGUGGGUGAUGAAGGUCUUCGGAUUGUAAAGCCCUGUUUUCUAGGACGAUAAUGACGGUACUAGAGGAGGAAGCCACGGCUAACUACGUGCCAGCAGCCGCGGUAAUACGUAGGUGGCGAGCGUUGUCCGGAUUUACUGGGCGUAAAGGGUGCGUAGGCGGAUGUUUAAGUGGGAUGUGAAAUCCCCGGGCUUAACCUGGGGGCUGCAUUCCAAACUGGAUAUCUAGAGUGCAGGAGAGGAAAGCGGAAUUCCUAGUGUAGCGGUGAAAUGCGUAGAGAUUAGGAAGAACACCAGUGGCGAAGGCGGCUUUCUGGACUGUAACUGACGCUGAGGCACGAAAGCGUGGGUAGCAAACAGGAUUAGAUACCCUGGUAGUCCACGCCGUAAACGAUGGAUACUAGGUGUAGGGGGUAUCAACUCCCCCUGUGCCGCAGUUAACACAAUAAGUAUCCCGCCUGGGGAGUACGGUCGCAAGAUUAAAACUCAAAGGAAUUGACGGGGGCCCGCACAAGCAGCGGAGCAUGUGGUUUAAUUCGAAGCAACGCGAAGAACCUUACCUGGACUUGACAUCCCUUGCAUAGCCUAGAGAUAGGUGAAGCCCUUCGGGGCAAGGAGACAGGUGGUGCAUGGUUGUCGUCAGCUCGUGUCGUGAGAUGUUAGGUUAAGUCCUGCAACGAGCGCAACCCUUGUUAUUAGUUGCUACCAUUAAGUUGAGCACUCUAAUGAGACUGCCUGGGUAACCAGGAGGAAGGUGGGGAUGACGUCAAAUCAUCAUGCCCCUUAUGUCCAGGGCUACACACGUGCUACAAUGGUAGGUACAAUAAGACGCAAGACCGUGAGGUGGAGCAAAACUUAUAAAACCUAUCUCAGUUCGGAUUGUAGGCUGCAACUCGCCUACAUGAAGCUGGAGUUGCUAGUAAUCGCGAAUCAGAAUGUCGCGGUGAAUACGUUCCCGGGCCUUGUACACACCGCCCGUCACACCAUGAGAGCUGGUAACACCCGAAGUCCGUGAGGUAACCGUAAGGAGCCAGCGGCCGAAGGUGGGAUUAGUGAUUGGGGUGAAGUCGUAACAAGGUAGCCGUAGGAGAACCUGCGGCUGGAUCACCUCC
rnacentral:rRNA from 1 species